rnacentral:rRNA from 1 species
GCUUGCUCCGAAAGCCUAGCGGCGAACGGUCGCGUAACACGUAAGCAACCUGCCCUGAAGUGGGGGAUAGCCCGCCGAAAGGCGGAUUAAUACCGCAUGUGAACACCUUCUCGCAUGUUAGGGUGUUUAAAGCAGCAAUGCGCUUCAGGGUGGGCUUGCGGCCUAUCAGCUAGUUGGUGGGGUAACGGCCUACCAAGGCGACGACGGGUAGCUGGUCUGAGAGGAUGGUCAGCCGGACUGGGACUGAGACACGGCCCAGACUCCUACGGGGGGCAGCAAUUAGGAAUCUUGCGCAAUGGGCGAAAGCCUGACGCAGCGACGUCGCGUGACCGAUGAAGUCCUUCGGGAUGUAAAGGUCUUUUACAGGGGAAGAAGGAUGUGACGGUACCCUGAGAAUAAGCCCCGGCUAACUACGUGCCAGCAGCCGCGGUAAUACGUAGGGGGCGAGCGUUGUCCGAAUUUACUGGGCGUAAAGCGCGCGUAGGCGGGUUAUUAAGUUGGGGGUGAAAUCCCGAGGCUUAACCUCGGAACUGCCUCCAAAACUGGUAGCCUUGAGGUAUGGAGAGGGAAGUGGAAUCCUGGUGUAGCGGUGAAAUGCGUAGAUAUCAGGAGGAACACCUGUGGCGAAGGCGGCUUCCUGGCCAUAUCCUGACGCUGAGGUGCGAAAGCCAGGGGAGCGAACGGGAUUAGGUACCCCGGUAGUCCUGGCCGUAAACGAUGGAGUACUANGUGUUAGAGGUAUCGACCCCUCUAGUGCCGCAGCUAACGCAUUAAGUAUCCCGCCUGGGGAGUACGACCGCAAGGUUGAAACUCAAAGGAAUUGACGGGGGCCCGCACAAGCGGUGGAGCAUGUGGUUUAAUACGUCACUAACCGUAGAACCUUACCCAGGCUUGACAUCUGGGGAAUCCUGAUGAAAGUCGGGAGUGCCUCGUAAGAGGAGCCCCAAGACAGGUGUUGCAUGGCUGUCGUCAGUUCGUGUCGUGAGAUGUUGGGUUAAGUCCCGCAACGAGCGCAACCCUCAUCCGAUGUUGCCAGCGUAAAGUCGGGAACUCUUCGGAAACUGCCCGUGUAAGCGGGAGGAAGGUGGGGAUGACGUCAAGUCAGCAUG